UACGGAGGGGGCUAGCGUUGUUCGGAAUUACUGGGCGUAAAGCGCACGUAGGCGGACCAUCAAGUUGGGGGUGAAAUCCCGGGGCUCAGCCCCGGAACUGCCUCCAAAACUGCUGGUCUGGAGGUCGAGAGAGGUGAGUGGAAUUCCGAGUGUAGAGGUGAAAUUCGUAGAUAUUCGGAGGAACACCAGUGGCGAAGGCGGCUCACUGGCUCGAUACUGACGCUGAGGUGCGAAAGCGUGGGGAGCAAACAGG
rnacentral:rRNA from 1 species